rnacentral:rRNA from 1 species
AUUGAACGCUGGCGGCAUGCCUAACACAUGCAAGUCGAACGGGGGUAGCAAUACCCUAGUGGCGGACGGGUGAGGAAUACGUAGGAAUUUGCCCUUAAGUGGGGGAUAGCCCGGGGAAACCCGGAUUAAUACCGCAUGACCUCGUGAGAGCAAAGCAGGGGAUCGCAAGACCUUGCGCUUUUGGAGAAGCCUACGUCGGAUUAGCUAGUUGGUAGGGUAAUGGCCUACCAAGGCAGCGAUCCGUAACUGGUCUGAGAGGAUGAUCAGUCACACCGGAACUGAGACACGGUCCGGACUCCUACGGGAGGCAGCAGUGGGGAAUAUUGGGCAAUGGGCGGAAGCCUGAUCCAGCCAUGCCGCGUGUGUGAAGAAGGCCUUUUGGUUGUAAAGCACUUUAAGCGAGGAGGAGGCUCUUAAGGUUAAUACCCUUGAUGAGUGGACGUUACUCGCAGAAUAAGCACCGGCUAACUCUGUGCCAGCAGCCGCCGUAACAC